CUCUGCUGUCUGGGCCUGCCUUGCAAUUGAUCCUGGAUUUGAAGCUGACAACUGUGAACUAGUUGGAAAAUGCUGCCCCAGGAGCUGCCAUGCCUGAAGAAAAUUCAAAGAAAGAUCAUGUGCAACUGGAUUUAAUGCAGAAACAGCAUGGAAGAGUAGUUUGACGAAGAAAAGUUGUUCACAUGAAAGACGAAGCAGAGAGAGAAAAGAGGAGCCAGGGAAAGAACACACGUUUCCAGGUUAUGUCACCAGUAACCUACCCACUUGUUCCAACAUAUUUUACUGGGUUUUGGGAAGACGGCAGAGUGGUGAGGAGCAGCAAAUCACCAUCUCUAAGAUCAAGUAUUUAGACACUGGAAAAAAACAACUUGGGGAAGAAAAAAGGAAGGAAGUAAGAUCCUGAUACCCAAGAAAGAUCGGAUGGGAAAAUUGGAGCCAUCAGAGAAACUGAAGAGACAGACCACAAUGAAGAAAAAGAAGGGUCAAUAUGUACUUUCUUUCUGGCUCCUGGCUCCUGGCUUAUGAAAAAGGAAGAUCUGAAUGUACAAAGACAUAGUGAAAGUGGCUCUCCCAAGGUGUUCAGGGGUAAAUGCACUAGUGGAAUGGAGCUGGAGGUGCUGUGUGGUUACAACAGCUGGUGAAUGUCUCCAUUUCAAGGUUCUGCCAUCUCCUGAAGAGAGUGCUUGGUCAAACGCCAUUCCAGCCAGGGUUCAGGCAAACAUGAAACUAAGAGCAGAUAAACUGGCACUAGGGUCCUUCCCUGGGAAGAUAGAUUGCCUUCUUGAUUAUAACCAUGCCAGAGGAAUGCUUUCUAAUGCGGACUCACAGCAUUGACUCUACAGCGAGCUUCCAGGACUUUAACAUUGGACUGGUGCUGCCCUUUCAAUUCCUCUUGUUCUGUGGCUUCUGUCUUGCACUGAGCAGCUACUGGAUGCUCUGGCUUUACAGCAUGCAGAUGGCUGUUGUGGAUCCUUCCACCUCUGGUCCUAGGUAGAGAAUUCUCCACCCUCAGUGGCAGAGACAUCCUUAUUGCCAACCCCUAUUAGUUGGCCUCUCAACUUCUGCCUGAAGAAACUGAUCGUGCCUUGCUUAUGGAAAGUGUACUGACCUUUCCUGAUACAAUUAUGAAGCAAGAAAUUGCUGACCUUCCUCAGAACCUACACAGACCAUUGUAGACCUACAGUCAGGUUUGAAUAUCACAAGACACCUCAAAGUGAAGUACACUGAAUGACCCAUGAGGAGAAAGAACAAAGGUGAACUCUGCAGAUGAAUAGUGUCCUGAUUGAAGACUCUCAGAAUUCCAUCAGAAGAAGACUAAGGAGAAGGGUGAGAAUUAUAAGUCACAACUGCCUAAAAUCAGUGAACUGAAAAUGUAUGAACA